GGUAGGGUGGCCGAGAGGUCUAAGGCGCUGGUUUAAGGCACCAGUCUCUUCGGAGGCGCGAGUUCGAAUCUCGCCCCUAUCA
rfam:Thelohanellus kitauei scaffold04879, whole genome shotgun sequence.